rnacentral:rRNA from 1 species
UGGGGAAUCUUCGGCAAUGGGCGAAAGCCUGACCGAGCCAUGCCGCGUGAGUGACGAAGGCCUUAGGGUCGUAAAGCUCUUUCGCCAGGGAUGAUAAUGACAGUACCUGGUAAAGAAACCCCGGCUAACUCCGUGCCAGCAGCCGCGGUAAUACGGAGGGGGUUAGCGUUGUUCGGAAUUACUGGGCGUAAAGCGCGCGUAGGCGGCCAUUCAAGUCAGAGGUGAAAGCCCGGAGCUCAACUCCGGAACUGCCUUUGAAACUAGAUGGCUAGAAUCCAGGAGAGGUGAGUGGAAUUCCGAGUGUAGAGGUGAAAUUCGUAGAUAUUCGGAAGAACACCAGUGGCGAAGGCGACUCACUGGACUGGUAUUGACGCUGAGGUGCGAAAGCGUGGGGAGCAAACAGGAUUAGAUACCCCUGUAGUCC